UGGGUGCUUGAUAGUGCAGGGGGCUUGAUAGCUCCUCUGUUUACAUCAUAUCCGACAGGAAUCUGGGGUCUUUGUGACAAGGGGCACGAAACUUGUGGCUUCCAUAUGAAUAAAUGUCCUACAUGU